CCCGACCCAACCGGCCGAAGAUAAACCCCGCUUCACCUGCAUAACUAUUGCUCGACGUCGUCGCCUCCGCCGCAGCCGCUGUGGCUGCCGUCGAAGCGCAACGUCCCCUCGUCGUGGAGCAGACGGCCGCCAGCUACUGGGAGACGUGCUCAGGGUAACUGCUAUCGAUAUUUCUUGGAGAAGCACAUGACCGUCCAUCAGAAUUGUUUGCCUUGAUAUGGCUUCUUUGCUAUUAUUCUGGUCAGGUGAAAGUAAUCCUGGUUCUUAUACAUCAACAUCAGCGGUCAAAAUCCUUGCGACACCUAGUGGUACUGCAUUGGCAAUUCCAGUCUUCAGGCCAAGGGCAGAAAAGGGCUACAGGCUACUGUUCCACAGUUCUCCUCAAGUUCAAGUGCUUGGCCCUGGGGGAGAAAAAUGGAUCCCUGGUGUGGAGUCACUGAUAAUGCCGCUCAGGUUACCAGAUUGCAAUGUAAACCAUGAAGCACAACCCAGCUGGAACUGCAACAGCAUUUGGCUCCAUGACAAAGAUAUAUUCCUGCAGUAUGUUGAUGGGACCACAAAAAUUUUAUGGCCUUGAGAAGCGAUAAGGAUGCUGUUAUAAGACUCCAAUGGAGCACAGAUGGGACUCUGGGAUACCUGGUAUGUAGAAACUGGGAAGCAAGUGACAAAGUGUGGAACAUUCAUCCUUUGUGAAUUCAUGCUGCCCUUCACAAGGGGCCUACCUCUUAUUGUGGGUUGCUCUACUGAUGGAACAGCCUAAUUCUGGGACUUAUAUAUUUAAGUGGUGCAAUCCAGACAUUUCUGGACAAGUAGUAGAUCGCAUCUGUAAGUUCGUCUGGUAGAUCACAUUUGUAAGUUCCACUGUGAUAGCAGAAAACAAUUUUACCGGAGGAUUGGACAAGGAUAACGAAGUAUGCGAUUUAGCAGGAAUGACGUAACAAUGACACUCCAAUGUCAUGGAACAAUGUCACUCCAGUGUCAUGGGAACAUGAUCUGAUACACAGCUGAUUCCUGGUGGAUCUUAUCUUUUGACUAAUGGCAUGGAUUGCAUGCUUUGGGUCCAGAAAAGGCACCUCUUUAGACUUGUUCCCUAAUUUGCAUGCUUCAAUUCUGGGACAUGUGCGCCCAUAUGCUCCCAAUAUCAGAUGAAAAGAUGCCGAAGCCAUGGCAUUUUGUGCAAGCUCCUGGACACAAUGGCUCUGUAAAUAAGACUGUUCUAUCCAACUGAGCCCGUCAUAAGUACUUGCAGUAGAGACAAGCAAAUAAAUUCUGGGGAGAUUUGAAGCAUUGGGCACCCCACUUAGCUUGCUUGGAGCUUCGAAAGCUGAGAUGGACAAUGGUUGCUUUGAUCGUACUUGAAAGAUAUUACUAAAUGGUAUUUACGGCUUUCUUCAUAUACAGGUUUUUGGUAUCUAUGUUCUAGUGCUUAUUUUGAGCUGCCAACUUUCAUGUCUCCGUAAGCUUGUAGUCUGCUGAAGGAUUGGCCUGAUUUUUAAAAGAACAGGUUAAAGACUUGGACAACCUAAACAGCAAGCCAAGAGGCCCACAAGAACUCAUCCCAUCCAUAACAGCGUGGAAAAUGCAUAGCUUGAGCAAGAUGGGGAAAAUUGCUGUAGAAAAUUAGAGAACCUGUUCUGCAAACAUGAGUUUGAAGUCCAAUGAACAUUUCCUGAUCUAAUGAAGGGCAGACAAAAUUGUGGCUUUGUUCCCAUGGACCAUCAUCAGCUCUGGUAUAUUCUGAGAAAUACCAUAUGUGAAAGUCAACAGAUGAAACAAUCAAGUCAAAGAGAAAUUCCCAUUCAUAGUACCAGAGAGUGCUUUGUGAGACCAGGUCCCUGGGUCAUUAAAGCUGAUUGGAAACAUCAGCCUGCUAUUUCCAAAGGCAGUAAGUAUCCAGACUGAUUACAUCGAACACUUUUCUUCUUCGUGUUUAAAUGCAGGUCAAGCAUCCAGGUGAGUGAGCUGGGAAGUCCACAGUCAUGGGUUUCAAAUAUAUAUAUAUAUAUAUAUAUAUUUUGGUGAUGGAACACUGACUCGUUGCUGGUAGCCUUAUCCUGACCACUCUGCUGCUCUUUUAAUGUGGCCUUUUUCUUCUGCACACAACAUCUUUUGAUCUGACCAGAGUCUCUUCUUUAUUAUCCACCGAUGAAUGCAGCAGGGGAAGCGGACAAAUGGUGGGCCAGCCUCUUGCUUUCUGAUCGCUCGAGAGACGAUGGAGACCUUCCAUGAAGAGUAGAGUUCCUUAGGAAGUGGCAGAGCACCAAACGCUGCUGCAAAGGAUGUGAUCACUAACAGCAUCUUUUAAAGGGGUAGUGCUAUAUAAUAAGUUGGCAAAAUCAUGCAAGCCUACCGUGAUGGUUGGCUGCGAUAUUUUUGUCAUUUUUAUCUUGAUGCGUGUAUGCCAUCAUAACAUUGUUACCUGAAAUAAUUAUGAUGAGCACUGAAAGAUAUCGUAUUAGAGUGGUGUUAUUUGAUGCAGUUGAUCAAA